rnacentral:rRNA from 1 species
UACGUAGGGUGCAAGCGUUAAUCGGAAUUACUGGGCGUAAAGCGUGCGCAGGCGGCUUUGCAAGACAGAUGUGAAAGCCCCGGGCUCAACCUGGGAACUGCAUUGGAAACUAACGGGCUCGAGUGUGGCAGAGGGGGGUGGAAUUCCAGGUGUAGCGGUGAAAUGCGUAGAUAUCUGGAGGAACACCGGUGGCGAAGGCGGCAUCCUGGACCGAUACUGACGCUGAGUGAGCGAAAGCCAGGGGAGCAAACGGG